rnacentral:lncRNA from 1 species
UAUCCCCAGGACAGUUGUAUCCCCUGCCUAUUCCCGUGCGCGACUCACGCCCACACACCUUAGGACGGUGUCCACCCUCCCGCGUCCCUGGGGUUUCCGGUUCCGUGUCUGAGGGGCUGGCGCGGAGUUGGUUGCCUUAGCAACGGAAGGUCGGGCCCCCGCUCUUCGGGGCUGCCUCGUGCCUGAUCAGGUCUUCGUUCCAAGGAUCAUCCAGCAGUUUUCCCUCCACUCGGAGUUCCCAGGAAGCCACCUUGUCCCCUGCAGGGGUUCCCCCAGGGGGCCCCGCGGUGCCCGCAGUAUCGCCUUCUGCCUUGCUGGGACUGAACGUAUUGGAAGUAUAGAUGCGCAGCUUCCGUUUUUGCGUCAGAGGCUUUUUGAUGGCCAGAGAAUGGAUUUAAACGUGAGUCUGACUAGAGCCUGACCACUUAACCAUAUUGCUUGUUUUUUUUUUUUUUAAGUUUAAGCAAUAUUCUUUUACUAUAUAUAUUUACUGAUCUAAUACUAACAUUAACACACUGUAUUCACUGUAUU